AGCGAACGCUGGCGGCAGGCUUAACACAUGCAAGUCGAGCGGGGGAGGUUGCUUCGGUAACUGACCUAGCGGCGGACGGGUGAGUAAUGCUUAGGAAUCUGCCUAUUAGUGGGGGAUAACAUUCCGUAAGGGAUGCUAAUACCGCAUACGCCCUACGGGGGACAGCAGGGGAUCUUCGGACCUUGCGCUAAUAGAUGAGUCUUAGUCGGAUUACGUAGUUGGUGGGGUAAAGGCCUACCAAGGCGACGAUCUGUAGCGGGUCUGAGAGGAUGAACCGCCACACGGGGACAGGGAAACGGCCCAGAGGUCUAAGGGAGGCAGCAGUGGGGGAUAUUGGAAAAUGGGCGGAAGCCUUAUCCAGGCAUGGCGUGUGUGUGAAGAAGUCCUAUUGGUUGUAAAGUACUUUAAGCGAGGAGGAGGCUCUAAAGGUUAAUACCCUUGAUGAGUGGACGUUACUCGCAGAAUAAGCACCGGCUAACUCUGUGCCAGCAGCCGCCGUAAGAC
rnacentral:rRNA from 1 species